CCCUAGCCCUGAUGGGAGGGAAAAUCCUUUUGUGUCCGCCGCAGCGGACAUAAAAGAUUGGAAGGACAGCGGGAAAUAGC
rfam:Flavobacterium sp. ov086 genome assembly, contig: Ga0070134_114